UAACUUUAGUUAACACUCAUAAAGGUAACAUUAAACCACGUCUUCACAGGUACAGGAGGUUUUUUUCAGUUUCUCCAGUUUUUUCUCACUGAUACAGUUUCCAUCGUGAUGACCUCCUCCUCCUCCUCUUCCUCCUCCUCCUCCUCCUCUUCCUCUUCCUUAAAUGUCUCCGUCUACGAACUCGGAUAACUUACUGUCUUCCCAGCGCCGCUCUCCUGAUGUUCCUGAGGAGCUGUAAACGCCUCGCCUCUGCUUCUUCGCCUAUAUUGGAUUCCACUUCAGGAAAUUGACUCGUGAAUCCUCGAGUUGCAGUGUGUCGUGCCCUAAAGCGAGACACCACCCAAUCACAUUUCAAUAAAAAACAAACCCUGUCUGCGGCCGCCGCCGAGGAUGAGGAAUAUCAAACGCACUCAGAGGAAGGCGCUUAUGACACUGUGCUUAUAGCGCUGUUGCAUCGCAUUACAGCAGUAAAUUGAAAUUCGGGGAGAAAUGAUUAAAUUCAUUGCCGCACAAUAUUUCUGGCAACAACAAAAAGAAAAUAUUAUCAGAGCUUGUUUUGAAGAGGACGACACAGUUGCAGCAGGUUGCUUUUCUCUGCCGUCUGCUCCCCAAAGGUUUCAUCACUUUACCCCAUUUCUCCUCUUCUGUUUUUUAUUUAGGCUGUUUGUCCUCCUCCUCCUCCUCCUCCUCCUCCUUUCUUCUUAACACGCCUUUCAUCUGAACUCUGCAGUCCCUCCUCCCUAUCCUAUCCCCUUGUUUCCUUGUUCCUUUCCUUCUCUUACUCAAAGCUAUUCCACUCUGGUCACCGCUCCAUACUUCCUUCUUCCUCUUUCUAACCUCUCUUCUUCUUCUUCUUCUCCUCCCUCCUCUCUCUCUUCUCCUUCUUUCUCAUUUUCUUCAUUCUCUCUCUCAGCUAGUAUUUUUAUUUCACCUCCUCUCCACCUCCUUUGUCUUUCUCCUGAUCUAUUUUGUCUGUAUUUUCUCCAUGUUUCCUCUUUCCUUCCUAUUUCUGUACCCUUUUCCCUAUUUCCUUUCCUCUUUCCUCCCUUUCUUUACUAUUUUAAUUUCCUCAUUCCUUUCCUUUUGUCCUUCUCCUUUCUUUACUCUUUAAAUUUCCUUUUUCCUUUUUCUUCUGUCACUCUUUUCCUUUGCUCUUUUCUUUUCCUCUUUCCUUUCCUUUUAAUUUCCUCUUUCCUUUCCCUUUUGGUCUUCUCCUUUCCUAUUUCCUUUACUUUUUUCUCUUUUCUUUUCCUCCUUUCUGUGCUUUACCUCUUUAUCUUCUUUCGAUUCGUUCUCUUUUUCCUUUCUCUUUGUCUCUUUCUUUUUUAUCUUCUUUUCUUUCUUUUCCUUCCCCAUUUUCCUGACUUGUUUCCUUCAUCACUUGCUUCCUCUCCUUCUUCGGUGUCCUUCCCUCCUCCCCCCACUUUUUAUUCCCUUCCUUUAUCACAUUAUCUUUACCUUUCCUUUACUUCUCCUCUCCUCCUUCCUCCCACUCUCCACUCCAUCUGUCCUUCACCGCUGCCUCCUUUCCUUCCUCAGACUCCUCUGUCCUUACCCUGAUUUUAGUUUAAGCUUCCUCCUCAUUUCUCCUUUCUUUAACCUUCUUCACCUCCUUUUACUCGUUUAUUUUAAUCCUUUUCGUUUCCUGUCCUCCUCCUCUUCCUCUUCCUCUCCACGCAGGGAUGUAAAGCAAACUUAAAACAGGAAGCAGAUGAUAAUAAUAUAAUAAUGAUGUUGUAAGAUGAGCCUGUAUUGAUUCUGGGUGUUGAAAUCAGGUCAGUGAAGCAGCAGAAAUUAGAGUCCGAGAGGAGAAGAAACCAGGAAGUCAAAUAUGCAGAAGCAGCAAUUUCAGAGCGAUAAGAGCGCGUUAGGAUGAAUGUAUGAAUGAAGACGACUCUGCAGAGGGAUAUAUAUUUGGUUUCUAUCUAACAAAGUUCCAUUUCAAUGUGCAAUGUGGCCAAAAAAUGAGAUUCCUCUUCCACAGGAGUGAGGAAAGUGGUGCUGAAAGCCUCUUUCAGAGUGUUAGAUGAUGAGGAAGAGGAGGAGGAGGAGGAGGAGGAGGAGGAGAGUGGUGUUAUGUGGUCAGGAAAUACAUCUUUGGCUCUUUGGCGGAGAGAGAAAACGACGGAGAGCCGAGAGGACAGAGAGAGUUUGGUGUAAUUGGUAUUAGGCAGACUGUCAGGCAGGAGGUGGGUGGGUGGGAGGUGAUGUAUGGAUGGAGGAGAUGUUGAAGAAGUGAACAGAGACUGUGGAGGAUGCUCAAAACCUGCUGCUUCAAACAGCCUGUGAUGAAGAUUAGGAGGAAGUGAUGGUGCGGGCCGAGGCGUCGCCAAAAAAACAACUGAAGUGAAAAACAUCAAAAAGUCUGAACUUCUUUAGAUGGUGACCGUCCGUCUGCAGGAGAUUCAACUUCACCUGUGAUGUGAGAGACUUCAUAACUCCGCCUCUUUUUGGAUAACCCCACCUACUUUAGAGCUAUUCUGUGAUUGGACGAUCACUGUGUCUCUCCCUCUUUCAUCCCUCUGCUGCUUUAGUUGUGGAAAACCUCAUUAUUGUUCAUUUCAGACAUUUCUCUCUUUCUAACAGG